AGGCUAACGCGGCAGAGUAACAUCUCUUGUAAUAUCCUCGCCUAGAAAAGUAACCAAUCGAAUGUUUAAACAGAAUGCUCGAGCGAACGAGCAAAAUCUCAUUUCGACAGAAUAAUGCUAACAAGACAAAGCUCGCAGAACGAAAGAAGAUAACGAUGGACUUACACAAUAAUCGCACAAUCGACCUCACAGGCAAUGAAGAAUUCCCAAUUAACGCAGAUUCAAAUAUAGUAAAAAGCAAAAAUAAAAGAAAAAAAAGAAAAGGAAAAGAGAACCAAGAAUUUAGGAAAAUAAAAAAAUGAAACGAUAAAAUUUCUUCAGAAUGUUUUAAGUUAACCACCAUCCCACCUUCCG
rnacentral:lncRNA from 1 species